GCUAAACAGUUUACAUAAAUGUUGAGACUUGCUUGCAUUUGCAUGUGUGUUAUAAUCUGUCUGAACCAGAUUCAUGGCAAAUCCUUUCUUGUAGAAACCAUGGAUGAGGAAAAAAAGGAUUCGAUAAAGCCCUUCACGGGCUAUCCAUACAAUCUUCCAGAAUGUUAAAAUCCACCUAAAGAAUGGAAAGGAGGAGAAUGUAUUAGCGCAUGGGAACCCUUGAUUACACAAAAUAUGGUGCCAAUAAUGGAAGAUCUUAAAAUAGAUAAUGCAGAAUAAAAGAGGCAGAAAUUUGAUUAACGGCGAAUAUACUCAUCUUUCCAGAGGGCAGAGAGUGAUUAAACAAGUAUUUCGUGA